rnacentral:rRNA from 1 species
GAAAAGAACUUUGAAGAGAGAGUUCAAGAGUACGUGAAACCGUUCAGGGGUAAACCUGAGAAACCCAAAAGAUCGAAUGGGGAGAUUCAUCGACGACGAAGCUGGCUCCCGUUGGCGUGCGAUUCCCCCGUUGGGACCUCGGUUCCAGAACGCGGGGUACACCCCUUCGGCGAAUAACCGGCGACGUAGUCGUGCACUUCUCCCUUGGUAGAACGUCGCGACCCGUUGUGUGUCGGUCUACGGCCUGGGCUAUUUGCCUGUCGCGGUGGCAUUCGUUCGCUCGCGGCAGAGGCUCGGUCGCCCGGCCGGCUGCACGACGGUACUCCGACGGUAUCGGGCCGCAACCAAUCCAUUCUCGAAUGGUAUAUGCGUCCAGGCCCGUCGCAAGCUCGGACAGCACCCGGAGCGUGUGGACGCAGCGCCCUCCCCGGGUCUGGCCAGCUGUUAGCAGACGGUGUCCUCGGACCGGCCAAGCUUCGAAUUACCGGUCAGCGACGCUAUUGCUUUGGGUACUCUCAGGACCCGUCUUGAAACACGGACCAAGGAGUCUAACAUGUGCGCGAGUCGUUGGGACAUUGAAACUUAAAGGCGAAAUGAAAGUGAAAGUCGUCGUAAGCGUCGACCAAGGGAGGAUGGGCCGCGUCACGUCGCGGCCUCGCACUCCCGGGGCGUCUCGUUCUCGUUGAGAAGAGGCGCACCCAGAGCGUACACGUU